AACACAUCGAAAGGAGGUGAUCCAGUGUCUCAUUGUCUUACAUCGCGGGCCCGGACCUGGCAUCAUGCCUUCUUGGGGGCUUUCGGCCUCUAAGCCGCCUUAUUCCGGGAUCGCGGACCGCGAUCCGACAAUGGAAGGACCGUCUCCCGAGCAGUUUUGCGAAGGGGCGGUCCU
rnacentral:sRNA from 22 species